rnacentral:rRNA from 1 species
UGCGGCGUGCUUAACACAUGCAAGUCGAACGGAAAGGCCCUGCUUUUGUGGGGUGCUCGAGUGGCGAACGGGUGAGUAACACGUGAGUAACCUGCCCUUGACUUUGGGAUAACUUCAGGAAACUGGGGCUAAUACCGGAUAGGAGCUCCUGCUGCAUGGUGGGGGUUGGAAAGUUUCGGCGGUUGGGGAUGGACUCGCGGCUUAUCAGCUUGUUGGUGGGGUAGUGGCUUACCAAGGCUUUGACGGGUAGCCGGCCUGAGAGGGUGACCGGCCACAUUGGGACUGAGAUACGGCCCAGACUCCUACGGGAGGCAGCAGUGGGGAAUAUUGCACAAUGGGCGGAAGCCUGAUGCAGCAACGCCGCGUGCGGGAUGACGGCCUUCGGGUUGUAAACCGCUUUCGCCUGUGACGAAGCGUGAGUGACGGUAAUGGGUAAAGAAGCACCGGCUAACUACGUGCCGCAGCG